rnacentral:lncRNA from 1 species
UUUAGUGAUCUAUAAAACGUCUUAGAGCAUCUCUAGUAGUGCCCUUAAAUCCUUAAAUCCUCAAAAUUAACUUUUUUACGGGUUGAAACAAAAAAAAGCAAAGAAUAGAACCCCUAAACCCCUAAACCCGUAAUUUUUUAAGGAUUGGACCCCAGGUUGCCCUCCCAAUCUUUAAAAGUGAGGAUUGGAGAGGGGAUCUCAUCCCCAGCCCGCACUCCUCCCUC